UCAUUCUCAUCAUCUUUUGCCGAAAGUUUAAAGAAAAAGAAGCCAUUGAAGCUUCAAAGUAUUCGGCCAUUGCAUGUUAAAUUGCUCAAGAGCAUAAGGAGCCAAUUUUGGAUAAAGGGAAAGCAAAACUAGUCGAUUAGUCAAUCCGUAGUUAUUCGAUUAAAUCCAAGGGUUGCCAGGUUAGUUCGGGUUGGAGGCCGUCAGAGAUAUCAUCACAUUGUCGAGUCUACGCUAUCGGCGUAAGUAAAUCUUAGUGUUUCGAGUCUAUGGCAUUUAUAGGGUUGUAAAGUUGAGUAUGUAAUAUUAUGAUUAAGCCAAAGACUUUGGCUUGUUAUUAAGGUAGUUUGAUUAUUCAUAUGCUUGUAUGUUAUUAUCUCCUGUGAUGUGAUUUAUAGCAUGUAUAUUUAGAAUUUGAAUUGUGAUUUAUUGUUGAGUAAGUAAAUGAUACAAGACUAAGAUAUUGGUAAAUA